rnacentral:rRNA from 1 species
CCUACGGGUGGCAGCAGUGGGGAAUAUUGCACAAUGGGCGCAAGCCUGAUGCAGCCAUGCCGCGUGUGUGAAGAAGGCCUUCGGGUUGUAAAGCACUUUCAGCGGGGAGGAAGGUGGUGAGGUUAAUAACCUCAUCGAUUGACGUUAACCGCAGAAGAAGCACCGGCUAACUCCGUGCCAGCAGCCGCGGUAAUACGGAGGGUGCAAGCGUUAAUCGGAAUUACUGGGCGUAAAGCGCACGCAGGCGGUCUGUCAAGUCGGAUGUGAAAUCCCCGGGCUCAACCUGGGAACUGCAUUCGAAACUGGCAGGCUAGAGGCUUGUAGAGGGGGGUAGAAUUCCAGGUGUAGCGGUGAAAUGCGUAGAGAUCUGGAGGAAUACCGGUGGCGAAGGCGGCCCCCUGGACAAAGACUGACGCUCAGGUGCGAAAGCGUGGGGAGCAAACAGGAUUAGAUACCCUUGUAGUC